UUCUUUAAGACAUAAUUUAAAGUACAAUCUGCUCAAUGAAUUUUAAAUAGCCGCAGUUUACUGUGCUAAGGUAGCAUAAUCACUAGCUUUUUAAUUAAAAGAUAGAAUGAAAGAUUAAACGAGAAAAAUACUGUCUCAUUUAAAAAAUUUAAAUUAACUUAAUAGUAAAAAACCUAUUACAUAUAAGUAAGACGACAAGACCCUGACAAACUUAACAUUUAGCUGGGGCGGCUAAUCAAAAAAACCUUAAUAUAAUCAACCCAACACAAAAAUGUCUAACCAAUAUAGAAAUAGUUACUGCAGGGAUAACAGCGCCACUUCUUUUAAAAGUUCAUAUUCAAAAAGAAAUCUACGACCUCGAUGUUGAAUUAAUUUACCUAUUAAAUGAAAAAGUUUGAUUAGGAGGUCUGUUCGACCUAUAAAAAAUU
rnacentral:rRNA from 1 species